CACAGCAAGCUACUCCGUCAUUAAAGCUCUGUUUACACCGUCGAAAUGCAAUCGGGACAAGACGGAAUCCCGACAGAAUAUUCAUUUAGUUAUCGUAUCGCGGGUGUUUUUGCCAGCCUUACGGUUUGAUCAUAUCACCACGGGACGGCAGCGCGGCAAAUUUCGACGCCAUCGCUACCUCAGUCUCUCCUGCAUUAUACCGAGCGUUAUGCUGAACACGCCUUAUUUACGGCGAUGGCUCCCUUUUUUACGCAACCGCGUAGAAGAAGAAAGGUUUGACAAAAUUGUGGACUAGCUGGGGUCGAGUUCAAACGGCACGCAACUUUUGGGGAUAAAAUAUGGAAAUUGCGACCUGCACCUUUCCCGCCGCACGACAAAUGCAUACUCGAGACGCCUCGGUGAAAUGCUUGUACCAGGCAUAAUAUGACAUGUAUCCUAAUGAAAAAAUUCGAGAAGACUGUUGAAGUACAUAACAAU